CCUUCAGUCGGGUCACUUUUUACAGUAUUUCGUUUGGUAUAAAACAUCUAGUUCUGUGCCACUGAAGUAUAGUUUGAGCUCACAGCCACCAACCAACUAUACAAGAUGCCUAGCCCCUGUGAACCCUGCAAAGACACUUGCGCGGACUCCUGCAAGGAUUCGUGCGCAUGCGCCGAUGACAAGUGCUGUGAUGACGGCUCCAAAGGUGGCUGUUGCUAAACUCAAGACUAUCACAUCUUCACCAGCCUUCUCUUCCACCUUCUAAUGCCUUCGUUCUUCUUCUGAACCAGAAUGUUAGUCAAACUAAUUGCUAACGUGUGUUUUGCUGUGGCCAUAAGCCUUACCUUUCUUACCAUUAUGGCUGCAUACUGUAUUCUAUUGUAAUUUCCUGUAAUAAAUUAUGUUUGGUGAAGGAUA